UACGUAGGGUGCAAGCGUUGUCCGGAAUUAUUGGGCGUAAAGAGCGCGUAGGCGGUCUGAUAAGUCGGUUGUGAAAGUCGGGGGCUCAACCCUCGGAUGCCGAUCGAUACUGUCAGGCUAGAGUCCGGAAGAGGCGAGUGGAAUUCCUGGUGUAGCGGUGAAAUGCGCAGAUAUCAGGAGGAACACCAAUGGCGAAGGCAGCUCGCUGGGACGGUACUGACGCUGAGGCGCGAAAGCGUGGGGAGCAAACAGG
rnacentral:rRNA from 1 species